rnacentral:rRNA from 1 species
AUACGUAGGUGACAAGCGUUAUCCGGAUUUACUGGGCGUAAAGGGCGUGUAGGCGGUCUUGCAAGUCAGAAGUGAAAUUCCUGAGCUCAACUCGGGCGCUGCUUCUGAAACUGCAGGACUUGAGUGCUGGAGGGGAUAGCGGAAUUCCUAGUGGAGCGGUAAAAUGCGCAGAUAUUAGGAAGAACACCGGUGGCGAAGGCGGUAGGUUGGGCAAGAAAAGAAGGUGAGGCGCGAGAGCGUGGGGAGCAAAGAGGAUUGGGUUGCCUGCUAGUGCACCCAGGAAACGAUGAGUACUAGAUGUAGGGGGUAUCGCCUCCGUUGGGGCCGGAGAUAACACAAUAAGUACUCCGGCUCGGCAGUACGGCCGCAAAGUUGAAAGUCAAAUGAAUUGACGAGG